GCGUUGGCUCGCGUGGCGCGGGGCGUGUGGUACAGCGAGUUCCUGGGCAGGUUGGCGGCGGGCUCGGGGCUUCGAGUUGAACCUGUUCGCGGUGGCGUCGUUUUAGAGUAACGGGAGCCCAGUGACCUGUCUCUGUACCCAAGCGCCGCCUCGCUAAACAGCCCAGAAUCUGCUUAUGUGCCCUGGAGGUGUGCGGGUCUCGGUGCUCCGCCCUUUACCUCUCGGUUUGGAGAUGGGCCCCUGGUGUCCUGUGUCCUGAGGACGCCCGCGGGCCGGACUGGACCCUGGGCGUGUAAAGUCUGAAGGGUCACAAAGCGGGCUUCGAAGUGUGGGGGCAGCUGCGCUAGAAAUCAGCCCCUCUCUACGCGCGCUUGCUUAAAAAAAAAAAAAAGUAAUUCAUAUCGAAGUCUUUGAGCCCAUUUUGAUUGUAAAAGUGCUUUCGUGGUUUUUGUUCUAAAUUACAAUGACUGGGAAUGAAUUUGAGAGUUCCAUUGUGGCUCUGUGAUUUGAUACAGCUCAAAUUAACCGUCAGUUUAAGAACUCGGCCUUAAUAACGUUGAAACUGCAAUUUAGGAAAAUUUUUACUGACUUUAGUAAUUCAAAGUAAGGUAUUUUCAACUUUGCCCCAAAUUUAGUCUUUUUCGAAAUUACAUUUUGUAUUUUUGUAGUCACUAGAAAGGAGAGAAAUACUUAGUUGGGUUUUUUUUGUUUUUGUCUAUUUUCAGGUUUUUUGAACACAGGGUCUCGCUAUAGUCCAAGCUGGGCUUGAACUCACUGUGUAGUGAGAAUCCCUCUUCUCAAGCUUUCUGAGCCCUGGGAUUACAGGCAUGCGCGGCUUAGUUGGUUUUCCUUUUUUAAGCAGGCUUAUACUUAAGGUUAUUGUCAUUGUCUGGUCAAUUAUAUUAAAUUGCUUUCCUCCUAAAUAGUAGCUUUUUUUGUCAGUCAUUUUUAUAUGAGAAACUUUAUGACUUACUCCACAGCCAAGCUAAUUUUUGGUUGCGUCAGGGUCAUGGAAGGAUAUGUUUUAUCAUUUUAACAUUCCACAGAUGGGCUUUUUUAAAAACUUGGAAGUGUCUGGCAGGCAUCUGUUUAAAAAAACAAAGUAACAGCCAACAAAGUCAGCUCCAGAAAUAAUGGAGUCCUGAGCGUCUGUGGCAACAGCUGGGUAAUAACAGUGUCUCCAAGCCCUCUCCCUGAGGACUGCCACACAACUGUCCCUUUGAAGACAUGCUGACUCCACCUCAUUCUUCUCACCCGGCUGAUGGGAAGGACCCGCUGUGACACAGGUAAGCUUGUUGGAUUAAGGGACUAUUUAUCUGGGAGAAAUUGUUGACUGUAAUUGUGAACUGCCCCCUCAAAUGACUGGCGAUGCAGCUGAAGUACUGAGGUAUCUACCCCAACUGUACCUGGCCC
rnacentral:lncRNA from 1 species